rnacentral:rRNA from 1 species
AUGGCAUCCUUCCUGAAGGUCAUCAAUUUAACGGCGAGGAAGCAGUGGACUAUAUUGAGAUGGAGAGAAUUUUUAUUGGUGAUAUGCGUGCACUAUGCUGCUGAUCUAGUUCAGAGCUCGGUUCGUCUGUUGAACAACAUGAAGCGUUUCAAAACUAUGCAAGACUCUCGCUGCAAGCCAUAUGAAGAAAGUGCAAAAGUUGUUAUCAGGCAGAUUGAGCAGGAUGAGGCUGCUGCCACCGACAGCAGAGCUGGUGAUGGUACCGAGGCUAAUGUUUCUGAUCACGAAACGAAUGAUGUUGGCUUGGAGCGCCAUGUUGUUGAUAUUGAGUAG